CGGGGUGUAGCGCAGUUCGGUAGCGCACUUGCUUCGGGAGCAAGGGGCCGGAGGUUCAAAUCCUCUCACUCCGACCA
rnacentral:tRNA from 1 species